CAAGCUUCCAAAAUGGCGAUUGAACAGAACACGUUUGAAGUCGAUUCUCUAUCGCGUAUUCCAGAUAAUGUUGGGGAUAAAAUAGUGGAAUCGUACUGCGCAUGUCAAGCAGGAUGCUGCAACUCGGAGCCUGACAGAAACAAGAAGGAGUGAAGCCCUCGCUGCUGGGGCUUCUGACUCCAGAACUCUUGCUCACCAUCUCCAUGGAAACAGGGAAAACCCCACGCGUUGCCACAGGAACGACAGGCAAUAU